rnacentral:rRNA from 1 species
UACGAAGGGGGCUAGCGUUGUUCGGAAUCACUGGGCGUAAAGCGCACGCAGGCGGAUUGAUAAGUCAGGGGUGAAAUCCCGGAGCUCAACUUCGGAAUUGCCUUUGAUACUGUCUAUCUUCGAGUUCGGGAGAGGUUGGCGGAAUUCCUAGUGUAGAGGUGAAAUUCGUAGAUAUUAGGAAGAACACCAGUGGCGAAGGCGGCCAACUGGCCCGAUACUGACGCUCAUGUGUGAAAGCGUGGGGAGCAAACAGG